GACGAACCGUGCAAGCGUUAUUCGGAAUCACUGGGCUUAAAGGGCGCGUAGGCGGGUCGUCAAGUCAGGGGUGAAAUCCCGCGGCUCAACCGCGGAAGUGCCUUUGAUACUGACGGCCUCGAGGGAGGUAGGGGCGUGUGGAACUUCCGGUGGAGCGGUGAAAUGCGUAGAUAUCGGAAGGAACGCCGGUGGCGAAAGCGACGCGCUGGACCUCUUCUGACGCUGAGGCGCGAAAGCCAGGGGAGCAAACGGG
rnacentral:rRNA from 1 species